CAGCAAAUCAGACGCGUCUCCCCCAGCGGUGCGCUGCGCUCUUACAGAGACCGAAGAGGCGCAAAACCUUCCUGACUUAGAUGGGACGGAGCAAAGUUCCUCUUUAGUAUUAUAGUUAUUUACAGGCGGUCUUCGGAGCAACGGAUCUAAGGUUUUUGUGGAGAAAACAGAAGCGCCAAGGAAGGUGAGGCUCCUGAUUAGGGUGGAUGAAAACACCUGUGCCGCCGUCCACCUGUCACGCCCUACUGGAGAGAGGAAUCAAUGGGCAAAAGGCGGGUGCAUCUUGGACAGGUUGCCAGUCCAUUCUUGAGCCACAAAAACCAGCUGGACAGACAACCAUACACAGCCCAUCCACGAUCAAAACAUCGCGCUGAGAAAUCCUGGUGAUCCAGGAGAGCUGAGCAGAAAGGUCACAGAGAGAGUCUGUAAAAUGGAUGAAGCCUAAUGAUUAGCUCAACCUUUGCCUAAUCAAUAAUCAUUUAUCCAACAAUAUCACCGGCAGCCACAGCCCCAUUUGCCAUUAACCUCAGCAGCGAGGCGAGAGGCAGUAUUGUUUCCUCUGGCAGCUUUAUGGCACUCAGAUGAGUGGUAGGGCUGGGAAGAAGCUUAAGGUUGGAUCUUGAUGGCUCAGAUCCUAUUAAGAGACUGCAGGUAUUUUACUGGAGAAGUGUCACAUAAUUACACUUUUAAAUGAUUGACGGUAAUGUUCGGCAUGCUGGUAAAAUUGUAGAACAGGGGGAUCAUUUAGCUCGAGGACAGAAUAUUAAAAAUGUUUAUGUGCACGUAAAUGAAAACAACGACCUAAAAUUUGUUUAGUAGGGAAGUUUCUAAACAGUAUUUUAUUUAGGAAAAUAGAUCUUUAAAAUGUGUAAAAUGAAAGGGAAAGGCUUUGGCGUUGCUCUCUGUUGACGUUCUGAAGCGUGUUAAAGAAAGAAAAUCAAUAAACCUGUUUAUGUCCAAUUAAGUUAAUAUCGCUUUUCCUGGCAAAAGAGUGAUACUGCAAAUUAUCACAUGAUAUAAGAAUAGUAAUCUGCCUCCGCUUCUUAUUUCUGCCCAACAUUCAGCCACAAAGCAUUAGCAGUGCCUGUCUCCUCUCUGUCUCUCCAUGAUGCCAUCUUCAUCAUAACCUCUCCCUUUUUAUUGCUUUUAAUGACUCUUUCUCCCUUUUCAUUAAUUCUUUAUCGAUUCCUCCUGACGCUGCCUGAAUUAUUUUUCAAUUACAGCAAAUAAAAGAUAAAGAAGACCCAUGGAAUAUGCAGGCCAGCCUGUGUUUGCUACGGUUGUGUUGCAGGAAGCAUUGUUAGUUUGCACAGAUUGUUGUGUCCAUCUUUCUGGUUAAACGCACUUUUACACACAUUUCUGCACAUAUACACUCUGGCCAAUAUGAAUAUGACUGCAGAGGAAGAGCGGUAAAGGUCACAGCCUUUGAAUGGCUUGGCUCUCUUACAGAGACUUAGCUCAGGCUCUGAGCUAAGCCUCAGUAAGAGCCUCUCUGGGAUACACGCAUGUAUCCCAGAGAGGAGUGUACCGAUAGUCGGACACCCGACACAAUUCACAGGGGCAAACAAACACCCACACACACGGGCGCAGUCUUCCAACUGACAUUACCGGGUCUUUUAAUAUGCUGAUCUGAGAAUAUGAAGGAUGGUCUAAAAAGCAGAUAGAUGCGGUCGCAAAAUUAGCCUCAGCGGUCCAUCAGAAGGUUCCAGUUAAUACCCACAGGUCAUUAAUUAUAACAAUUAUUCAAGCCCAUAUCACAGACACAUAUUGACUGUUUUUUUUUUUUUUUUCAUUUUUGGUCUCUACUUGGGUUGUCUGAUGACGCACCCAAAAGGCUCAAUUAAAGAAUAAAGCGUGUGUAUUAACAGUGUGUGUGUGUGUGUGUGUGUGUGUGUGUGUGUGCGCGCGCGCGCACAUGGGAAAUGGAGAUAGAUUUUUACCUGCACUGUUUAUUAUGGGGUGCACAAUGCUUUUUGUCCCUCCGUUGUCCAAUUACAUCAUAUUACUGUGAAGUUGUGCUAGACAAAAUGACGUUUUAUCAUCCAGAUCAGUGUGAUACACGUACACAUGUGUACAUGUGAUGGAAAUCAAAUAAACGUGUUCAAUCCCCUCA